rnacentral:rRNA from 1 species
UACGGAGGUGGCAAGCGUUGCUCGGAAUCACUGGGCGUAAAGGCCGCGUAGGCGGGGAGGUAAGUCGGGUGUGAAAUCCCUCGGCCCAACUGAGGAACUGCGCCCGAGACUGCUUCUCUUGAGUCCCGGAGAGGAAGAUGGAAUUCCCGGUGUAGCGGUGAAAUGUGUAGAGAUCGGGAGGAACACCGGUGGCGAAGGCGGUCUUCUGGACGGUGACUGACGCUGAGGCGCGAAAGCGUGGGGAGCAAACGGG